CAGAUAGAAAACACUUCAUCUUUCUUUAUUACAUUUUUUUUAAAUAAAAUCAACUUCUAAUUCGUUAAUAUCACUUUUAUCAUUUUAAAACACACUUCAAUAAAUACUUUUUUUGUUUGUGUAAUUUACAAAGACAUACAAUGACGGAUGGGUUCAGUAACAGGGACAACAUUAUCUGGAACGGUAAGAAAGGCGUAUAGAGAGAGACAGACCGAUACAGACCGAGAGACAGACCGAUCAGGCCUUUACUGCCGGGUUCCCAGAUGGCCCAACUGGGAGCAACAGCCUAACCCCCAGAAAACACAACACAGUAGGUACUGGCGGUACCUGGCCGGAGGGUCUGCACAAACAGGAGGACAGGUAGCGUCACAGACUGGAGGGCACACGGGGAGUUAGCUCUAUAGGUUAAGACACAUAGGUUAAAAGGACGCUGUGCAACCCGACUUAAAGUGCGCUGACUACAAACUUUCAUCACCUCACAGUCAGAAUAGGAUUUUUUAAAUGUUGCUGCUUCUUAAGAGGAGAGAGUCUGCUUCAUGUGUAUAUAUAUAUAUUUGUCGGAAUCAAAAUUAUGUUAGCUUAUGGACGGGCCUGUGCUCCAUGGGGGAAUGGCGUCUGUCAGCAUUAGAGGAGGGUCAAUUACAGAGAGCUGUGGUUUACAGGCGGACCACAGAGGAUUUUUUCAGAGCAAACGUAAACAUCUCAAUACUGCGCAAUGAACACGUCAAUCUUAACUGUAGUGUCCCUGAAAUGAUGUUUCAUGGUUUGUUUUAUUUAGUUGUUUUAAAAAGAAAUGUACAAAUAAGAGCCACCCGGAGAGCUUUUCCAGAGAGAGAGACAAGGCGCCAUGUCAGAUAAUUCUUUAUGUUUAGCUUUGUUUAGCAAUUUACAUUAUCUACUCCCACCAACACACACACAUAGACACACAAAAACACACACAUACACACACAAUAGGCAUGGCAUGACUUACAUAUAUUAAAAAAAUGGGGCUGAUCAUAAUUAGAGUGACCUAAUGGUUUCCACAACGCCUGUAUCCCUACAUCUACCUAAGCCUGCACACACACAUACAUGCACACACAGCAACACACACACCAAACACGAGCACAGGUAAGCCCAGAUCUUUGACCCACAUUGUGUUUCCCCCAGCGAUCAUGUAAACCGGAAUACAGGAAGCCAAUAUGACCCUAACUCAUGAAUAAUGCAGACAUGUCUGCUGUUUGAGUAAGUAACCGUAUCUAGUAGCCAUACAGACUUGUGUUUGUUUGUGUGCAUGAGAGUGUGUAUGUGUGUGUUUGCAUGUAUGUGGUCCAUUGUACAGGUAAUGUGGCUAAAGCAAUAGAUAGGGGAGUCAGGAACAGGAGAAAUGGGUUUGGCAUCAGGCAUCACACACACACACACACACACACACACACACACACACACACACACACACACACACACACACACACACACACACACACACAGACAAACAUACACACACGCACACCUCUGGGCCUCCAGUGAGCCACGAUGUUAAAAAUAGACCAAAUCCGCGGGUGCUGUCACACUCUCUAUCUCUCACAGCCAAUUAUGAAAGCCUCCAGGUGUUCACACACACGCGCACGCAUACACAAACACACACACAAACACACACACACACAGUCAAGCGAGCACGCUUUUGAAACAUCAACAGUGUAGGGUGGGAUAUAACUACCUCCUAGGGCUCUCACUCACUGUUGCCCCCAUAGGAACCUUUACUGUGUGUGUGUGUGUGUGUGUGUGUGUGUGUGUGUGUGUGUGUGUGUGUGUGUGUGUGUGUGUGUGUGUGUGUGUGUGUGUGUGUGUGUGUGUGUGUGUGUGUGUGUGUGUGUGUGUGUGUGGGGCAUAGAUAAAAGAUAGAUCUACAGGGUCGAAGAGAGGCAAAGAGAGAGAACCUUGAACUGACAAAUCAAAAGAGGAAGUGCUGGGGGGUAGAGGAAAGGGGAUAAGUGCCAUGUGCCGAGCAAUACUGAGCAAAAAGGAAAUGUUAAACUAUAGCAGCACAGAGCGAGAACUGCAGAGAAACUGUGUGUGGGAAAAUGUCACACGCAAACAUUAUGAACAGUGUUUUCUUCUCGUGGCUGUUCUACUUUUAAACCUUGGCCUGGAUAACUUGUUAGAUUCCUUGGAAUAGAUUGUAGAAGUGACAAGUUAAACUAUUAAGACGCUCACUGCCUCGCUCCAUCUCCCUGCCUCGCUCUGCCUCCGGUUACCGGUAGAAUGCUCGCUAACAUUUACCAUGUCUUCUGAAACCUGCUCUCUUCACAGUUCUUUUUAAUACGACGUCAAAAUGCCUUUUCCUCGGAGGCCUUGGAAUGGCUAGGCAGACAGGAAGUGAGAAAGCGGGUUCUAAAAUGUUCUUUGUAAAGUAUUCCCAUUUGAGGUCAGGUACUGAAACAUUACAACUAAUAAAUAUAUUGCAUUGUAAGCUGCUGAGUUUGGGAGUUCAUUCAAGAAAGAUGUUCCCUUUUGGUUUUCACUCCGUUAAACUCAAAUGGGUAAAAAUAAUAUAAAAGAUUUGAAGGCAUUUCCCAUCGCAUUUGAUUAUUCCGCUCUUUGUUCUCUGGUGCAGUGUUUGGUUCAUUGACAGGCUGACAGCAUACAUAAUCAGAAUACAGAAGACAAUAACAAGCAUUAAAUGGAAAUAACAAACACAAGCCUGUCCUCCUUUACAAAGACACAAUUACAACCAUCAGAAAACACAAUGGUAUGGUGACCAGUAGCCAGUUGCC
ensembl:lncRNA